rnacentral:rRNA from 1 species
UCCUACGGGAGGCAGCAGUGGGGAAUAUUGCACAAUGGGGGAAACCCUGAUGCAGCGACGCCGCGUGAGUGAAGAAGCAUUUCGGUAUGUAAAGCUCUAUCAGCAGGGAAGAAAUACUGACCUUACGGUCAGCAGACGGUACCUGACUAAGAAGCCCCGGCUAACUACGUGCCAGCAGCCGCGGUAAUACGGAGGAUGCGAGCGUUAUCCGGAUUUAUUGGGUUUAAAGGGUGCGCAGGCGGAGGUGCAAGUCAGCGGUCAAAUUGCGGGGCUCAACCCCGUACUGCCGUUGAAACUGCAUCCCU